GAUGAACGCUGGCGGCGUGCCUAAUACAUGCAAGUCGAGCGAACAGACGAGGAGCUUGCUCCUCUGACGUUAGCGGCGGACGGGUGAGUAACACGUGGAUAACCUACCUAUAAGACUGGGAUAACUUCGGGAAACCGGAGCUAAUACCGGAUAAUAUAUUGAACCGCAUGGUUCAAUAGUGAAAGACGGUUUUGCUGUCACUUAUAGAUGGAUCCGCGCCGCAUUAGCUAGUUGGUAAGGUAACGGCUUACCAAGGCAACGAUGCGUAGCCGACCUGAGAGGGUGAUCGGCCAAACUGGAACUGAGACACGGCCCAGACUCCUACGGGAGGCAGCAGUAGGGAAUCUUCCGAAAUGGGCGAAAGCCGGACGGAGCAACGCCGCGUGAGUGAUGAAGGUCUUCGGAUCGUAAAACUCUGUUAUUAGGGAAGAACAAAUGUGUAAGUAACUAUGCACGUCUUGACGGUACCUAAUCAGAAAGCAACGGCUAACUACGU
rnacentral:rRNA from 1 species